rnacentral:rRNA from 1 species
GCUAGUUGGUGGGGUAACGGCUCACCAAGGCGACGAUCUGUAGCGGGUCUUAGAGGAUGAUCCGCCACACUGGAACUGAGACACGGUCCAGACUCCUACGGGAGGCAGCAGUGGGGAAUUUUGGACAAUGGGCGCAAGCCUGAUCCAGCCAUGCCGCGUGAGUGAAGAAGGCCUUCGGGUUGUAAAGCUCUUUCGGCCGGGAAAAAAUCGCUUGGGUUAAUACCCUGAGUGGAUGAUGGUACCGGAAUAAGAAGCACCGGCUAACUACGUGCCAGCAGCCGCGGUAAUACGUAGGGUGCGAGCGUUAAUCGGAAUUACUGGGCGUAAAGCGUGCGCAGGCGGUUUUGUAAGACAGGCGUGAAAUCCCCGGGCUCAACCUGGGAACUGCGUUUGUGACUGCAAGGCUAGAGUAUGGCAGAGGGGGGUGGAAUUCCACGUGUAGCAGUGAAAUGCGUAGAGAUGUGGAGGAACACCAAUGGCGAAGGCAGCCCCCUGGGCCAAUACUGACGCUCAUGCACGAAAGCGUGGGGAGCAAACAGGAUUAGAUACCCUGGUAGUCCACGCCCUAAACGAUGUCAACUAGGUGUUGGGUGGGUAAAACCAUUUGGUACCGUAGCUAACGCGUGAAGUUGACCGCCUGGGGAGUACGGCCGCAAGGUUAAAACUCAAAGGAAUUGACGGGGACCCGCACAAGCGGUGGAUGAUGUGGAUUAAUUCGAUGCAACGCGAAAAACCUUACCUACCCUUGACAUGCCAGGAACUUGCCAGAGAUGGCUUGGUGCCCGAAAGGGAGCCUGGACACAGGUGCUGCAUGGCUGUCGUCAGCUCGUGUCGUGAGAUGUUGGGUUAAGUCCCGCAACGAGCGCAACCCUUGUCGUUAAUUGCCAUCAUUUAGUUGGGCACUUUAACGAGACUGCCGGUGACAAACCGGAGGAAGGUGGGGAUGACGUCAAGUCCUCAUGGCCCUUAUGGGUAGGGCUUCACACGUCAUACAAUGGUCGGUACAAAGGGUUGCCAAGCCGCGAGGCGGAGCCAAUCCCAGAAAGCCGAUCGUAGUCCGGAUCGCAGGCUGCAACUCGCCUGCGUGAAGUCGGAAUCGCUAGUAAUCGUGGAUCAGCAUGUCACGGUGAAUACGUUCCCGGGUCUUGUACACACCGCCCGUCACACCAUGGGAGCGGGUUCCGCCAGAAGUAGGUAGCCUAACCGCAAGGAGGGCGCUUACCACGGCGGGGUUCGUGACUGGGGUGAAGUCGUAACAAGGUA